UAUGGUCCUCGGAGAGAGAGAGAGAGAGAGAGAGAGAGAGAGAGAGGAGAAUGAAUGUUUUGUGUCUAUUAGAAAUUGAAGCCAGGGCCUUGCACAUGCUAGAUGAGUACUUCACUAUCAAGCUAAAUAUCUAAUCUUGUCCUUCUCUUCUAACUUUUUUAAAUGAUUUUUUAAAUUUAAUCUAAUUGUUGGGAGUUUGGGGAACUGAACACGAGGCUUCACUAAAGCUGGAAAAGGGUUCUACCACUCAGGCAACCCCAGUCUCAUUUCUUAAUCUCUGCAGAAUAUGGGUGAAGAACAAAAAUGCAGCUUAGUGGGAGAGUGGCUCCGAGACC
rnacentral:lncRNA from 1 species